rnacentral:rRNA from 1 species
GGGCUUCCGAAUGAAAGUGCUUAACUGCAUUUUUUCUUACACAUGUGUUUUUCUUUUUUUGAAAACUUUGCUUUGGUAGGCCUUCUAUAUGGGGCCUGCCAGAGAUUAAACUCAACCAAAUUUUAUUUAAUGUCAACCGAUUAUUUAAUAGUCAAAACUUUCAACAACGGAUCUCUUGGUUCUCGCAUCGAUGAAGAACGCAGCGAAAUGCGAUAAGUAAUAUGAAUUGCAGAUAUUCGUGAAUCAUCGAAUCUUUGAACGCACAUUGCGCCCUUUGGUAUUCCAAAGGGCAUGCCUGUUUGAGCGUCAUUUCUCCCUCAAACCCUCGGGUUUGGUGUUGAGCGAUACGCUGGGUUUGCUUGAAAGAAAGGCGGAGUAUAAACUAAUGGAUAGGUUUUUUCCACUCAUUGGUACAAACUCCAAAACUUCUUCCAAAUUCGACCUCAAAUCAGGUAGGACUACCCGCUGAACUUAAGCAUAUCAAUAAGGCGGAGGAA